rnacentral:rRNA from 1 species
GACGAACGCUGGCGGCGUGCUUAACACAUGCAAGUCGAACGGAAAGGCCCUGCUUUUGUGGGGUGCUCGAGUGGCGAACGGGUGAGUAACACGUGAGUAACCUGCCCUUGACUUUGGGAUAACUUCAGGAAAAUGGGGCUAAUACCGGAUAGGAGCUCCUGCUGCAUGGUGGGGGUUGGAAAAUUUCGGCGGUUGGGGAUGGACUCGCGGCUUAUCAGCUUGUUGGUGAGGUAGUGGCUUACCAAGGCUGUGACGGGUAGCCGGCCUGAGAGGGUGACCGGGCACAUUGGGCCUGAGGUACGGACCAGACUGCUACGGGAGGCAACAGUGGAGAACAUUGCACAAUGGGCGGAAGCCUGAUGCAGCAAUGCCGCGUGCGGAAUGCCGGCCUUCGGGUUAUAAACAGCUUUCGCCUGUGACGAAGCGUGAGUGACGGUAAUGGGUAAAGAAGCACCGGCUAACUACGUG